rnacentral:rRNA from 1 species
GCCUAUCAGCUUGUUGGUGAGGUAAUGGCUCACCAAGGCGUCGACGGGUAGCCGGCCUGAGAGGGUGACCGGCCACACUGGGACUGAGACACGGCCCAGACUCCUACGGGAGGCAGCAGUGGGGAAUAUUGCACAAUGGGCGGAAGCCUGAUGCAGCAACGCCGCGUGAGGGAUGACGGCCUUCGGGUUGUAAACCUCUUUUAGCAGGGAAGAAGCGAGAGUGACGGUACCUGCAGAAAAAGCACCGGCUAACUACGUGCAAGCAGCCGCGGUAAUACGUAGGGUGCAAGCGUUAUCCGGAAUUAUUGGGCGUAAAGAGCUCGUAGGCGGUUUGUCGCGUCUGCUGUGAAAUCCCGAGGCUCAACCUCGGGCCUGCAGUGGGUACGGGCAGACUAGAGUGCGGUAGGGGAGAUUGGAAUUCCUGGUGUAGCGGUGGAAUGCGCAGAUAUCAGGAGGAACACCGAUGGCGAAGGCAGAUCUCUGGGCCGUAACUGACGCUGAGGAGCGAAAGGGUGGGGAGCAAACAGGCUUAGAUACCCCGGGUAGUCCACCCCGUAAACGUUGGGAACUAGUUGUGGGGUCCUUUCACGGGAUU